AGCAGCCACCGCCCCUUGAAUAUCUCCUUGACGUUUAUGAAAGUGCGUUUCGAAAUUCACUAGAGUUGAAGCCAAAAAACUAAUGUUCAAAGCUGUGGAAAUUUAUUACUUGUAUUAUGCCAAUGUUACACAAGUAUUUUUUUUUUCGGGGGCACUUCAUUCAGUACGAAUCGCAAAAGGCAUGCAGAUAUUUGGAGAAGAGUAGAAUGUAGGCAUUCGAAUGGUAUUUUACGUACCUACUUGACGUCACAAGCCGCGUUAAAAGAGGGCACAUAUUGGAUGAUCGCUCGUACGCAAAAAUAUCCUGUUACGUAAAAAAAAACUUUGACUCGUCUACAUCAGAGAUUGCUCGAGUUAUCUAGCUCGAGGCUCGAGAGCGAGUAGAGGCGAGUAGGUACCUGGAUAGUGGCGACAGUGGAAUGUACCUGAAGCGGCCGGUUGGAUGGUGGAUGGGGCCGCCAAAUCGACGACUCGCUUGUGGUGUCAAGUAUGCUGCUAUCGGUG